AGAGUUUGAUCCUGGCUCAGAACGAACGCUGGCGGCGUGCCUAACACAUGCAAGUCGAACGGAAUGAGGGGGCUUGCUCCUUCAUUUAGUGGCGCACGGGUGAGUAACGCGUAGAUAAUCUGCCUGAUGAUCUGGGAUAACAUCUCGAAAGGGGUGCUAAUACCGGAUAAGCCCACGGGGUCUUUGGACUCUGCGGGAAAAGGGGGGGACCUUCGGGCCUUCUGUCAUCAGAUGAGUCUGCGUACCAUUAGCUAGUUGGUAGGGUAAUGGCCUACCAAGGCGACGAUGGUUAGCUGGUCUGAGAGGAUGAUCAGCCACACUGGAACUGAGACACGGUCCAGACUCCUACGGGAGGCAGCAGUGGGGAAUUUUGCGCAAUGGGCGAAAGCCUGACGCAGCAACGCCGCGUGAGUGAUGAAGGCUUUCGGGUCGUAAAGCUCUGUCAAGGGGAAAGAAGUGUAUUGUGGUUAAUACCCGCGAUACUUGACGGUACCCCUAAAGGAAGCACCGGCUAACUCCGUGCCAGCAGCCGCGGUAAUACGGAGGGUGCAAGCGUUGUUCGGAUUUAUUGGGCGUAAAGCGCGUGUAGGCGGUUUAUUAAGUCUGAUGUGAAAGCCCUGGGCUCAACCCAGGAAGUGCAUUGGAUACUGGUAGACUUGAAUACGGGAGAGGGCAGUGGAAUUCCUGGUGUAGGAGUGAAAUCCGUAGAUAUCAGGAGGAACACCGGUGGCGAAGGCGGCUGCCUGGACCGAUAUUGACGCUGAGACGCGAAAGCGUGGGUAGCAAACAGGAUUAGAUACCCUGGUAGUCCACGCCGUAAACGAUGAGUACUAGGUGUUGCGGGUAUUGACCCCUGCAGUGCCGCAGCUAACGCAUUAAGUACUCCGCCUGGGAAGUACGGUCGCAAGACUAAAACUCAAAGGAAUUGAUGG
rnacentral:rRNA from 1 species